CUUCAGAAAUUCUUCCACAUUGUAAAACUGAGCAACAUCAUCAGGUUUUAAGUUUGUCUUCCAGAGCAGACAUCAUCAACAGCAAGAAUUGGGAAAACAUAUCUACUACAGAAAAAUAUUUUGAAUCAAACAGCUUAAACUGUCACUUGGGAGAUGACCAUCCUGUUCCGCUCCUUCCAUACACACUUGGAAGCCUUCUCUCUGCUUUCAUCAACAACUACAGUAUGCAAAUAGAAACCAGGAGUCUUUACACAGCAGAUUCCUCAGAUAAAACUCUGAAAUCCUUGGGCAGAAAUGCUAGUGACAGCAAUGACUGCUUUAGGAAGAAACAGCUUCAAGCACAAAAGAAGAUUGUAAAAGAUGCUGUACAAGGGACAACAGAGGUCUCAGAACUAUGAAGUGUGAGGACCACUGUGUGCUUCCCUGGCUGUGUGCUGCAGGACUGAACUGACUGUCCUACAGGGGGAAAGCAAAUGGCUCUUUUUUUUUCAUAUCCACCAACAACUUUGCCCUCCACUGCACUCAGAGGAAUUGCUGCUCAUCUGACAUUCUCAAGCCUUCUGCAGUUUCACACUGGACCAGCACCUGGAGAGAGGGAAGGUGAAUAAUGGGAAAUUGCAUCACUAGGAUGUGUCCCUGGGAAGGCUGGGAAAAAGUGACACAGGAGAUGUGGCAAGGAACUUGCAGGAGGGAGCACUACUGAAUAACCAGGGCACGAGGCUGGAGGUUUCAGGCAGCAAUUACAGCAAUUGGAUGGCACUCGGCUGGCCGGUCUCUAGCAAACGCCUACCAUGAGUCAAAUCAGCAGCAGAAUGUGGCAAGUGUGGUGGUGUAAUGUCAUGUAACAGCAAGGAUGCAUUUAAGAAGCCAUCUCUUCUGCUCCCUUCCAUCUGGGACGUUAGCAAACCUGCACAGCUCGGUGAGACGCUGGUGCUGCCUGCUAGCCAUGACUAACACAGCAUGGCAAUUACAGCAGAAGGAAGUUUAAAAUCAUUUUGUUAGUGUUUGGAGCACGAGGCUCAUCUCCAGCCAGACCUCAGACUCUGCUUUCCACAACGUGAAGAUCGCUGAAGUACUCUUAUGUAAGCCUAAUUGACACAAUUAAAAGGCUGACUCCUUACAGAUGUGUGUUGCUGUAGCAACCUGGGGCAAGGGGAGCCAAAGUGCCCUCCACACUCAGAAAAAUAAUAUUAAUCAUAAUAGGUAGAAGCACUUUAUCCUUUUUACAAGACAUUUGCUCUGGAGCCAAGAGCCUUAGCGUGUUGCAACAAGGAUCACUGCACUGAAGCUGAAAUAAUUUGAAGGCGAGCUAAAAUACUCUCAGUAAUAAGCAAAAUUACACGGAGACAGAAAGAUAUUCAAAUGGUGUCUAACUCUCCCGGGACGUAGGCAGCAGGAUUAGUUGUUCAAGGCUUUGGUUCUGCUGCCAUAGGUGAAGGAAAACCACUGGGUGAAGGAAAACACCAAAGGCAUCCGUGGAUGCAGGAUGAGGCCUGAACUGCUGAGCUUGGCCAGGGUUUGCCUUACUGAAGGGUCCACAGACAGGCUUUAAAUCCCUUUGCAACAUCCUCUGUUUCAGAUGGGCUCUGAGCAGCUCCACGUUGUUGACAGAAAAUGGCAACAAGUCUCCUAUUUUCCCUGCAGCAAGCCAGAGCUGGAACAGGGCUUUGUAGACUGGAUACGAGUGCCUUUAUUCUUGACUCUGCUUUGCUUGUCCCACUGAAACUGCAGGUUUCAUCCAAGCAGAAGUCUCUCUGAAGUGUCAAAGGGACCACACGAAUUACCUGAGACACACGACUUAGGACUUGUUUUAAUGAACUCUUUUGAUGUAAAGCCAGUGAUGUGUAUUUUGACCAGGAUGAGUGCGGCUUCAAAUGUAUUAUUUUAACUAACACAGUUUUUAACUUGGCCUUGACAACUUUGCAAUUUAAACAGAGUCAUGCUGUGUUGCUACGGAGUACAAGAAAAACCUGAAAUCGGUGCCGACUGAGACUGAACAAUCUGAUUUCCAUUUCCAAAGUGAAGAAGCAAGUGAAUAGCAUGGACAAACAAGCAAGUCUGAAAAAAAAAAGCAAAAAAAAAAAAAAAAGCAAAAAAAAGCACCCAACAACCAACAAUAACAAAAAAAAAAUCCCAACAGCAACAACAACAAACCACUUGUCUUUUGAAUGAUCAUUGAAAAUACAGAUGAGAAGGGAUCUCAAGAAGCCAUCUCUCCCAUCCCACUCACUAGAGAUGGAUUCAUUUUAUCUCUGUCGUUACAGACCAUAUUUUCUCUGAUCGGUUCUGAAAAAGAUUUACAGUCCCCAGGCAAUCUAGUUUAAGGCAUCACUAUCCUUAUUUUUAGAAAGAUUUUCCCCUAAUGGCUAACCAAAGUAUUUCUGCUGAAACGGAAUGUCAUAUUAAUCUCUAACAUCUUUGUUUCUGAAGGCUCCUAUCUCUGUCAGGUUUCUCUUCACUAAAGCACGCACCCUCAUUGCUGCAGUCUUCUCUGGUAAGUCGUGUUUUUCUAGAACUCCCAUCGUACUCGUGGCUCUCCCCUCUAGCCUGAUUACUGUUUUAUCUCUCCUGAGCUUGGUGCCCCAAGCCAGACUCUCGAAGCUCCAGCUAAGUUUUGCCAAUAUAAGAAAACUGGAAGAGUCACUUCAGGCACUUUAUAGCUUCUGUGUUAUAGCCUUGUCUCAGUAUGAAGUUUGGGGUUUUUUGAAACACUUUGCAACCUCGAGAGCAUUUCUGCAGCGCUGCUCCCUACCCAUUUGCUCCUCAAUCUGUGCUUUGUCAGUUGACUGUUCUUGACCAAACUUAAAACCUUGCAUUUUUUAUUCCCUAACAGCAUCUUAUUUGUUUUCACCAACAAUCCCAGAUACGCGGUUCAUUAAUGAUUGCAUUCAGUUUGAAUAUUAAACUCAUAUUUCUUCCAACUACUUUUUUUUUUUUUUUAAGCUUUCUCACCCUGCUUUGUGCCUGGGAUCUACAAACCUUCAGCCUUGCUCUAAUUAUAGUUGCAGAGGUACAGUGUGUUCAUGUUCAGCCUGCACGUGGCCCUUCGCUUAGCCUGUUCCAGGUACAGUGGUGUGAUUACAGCUGUUUGACCUGUUGCACCAUUGGAAGCUCAGCCUGUCCUGAUAAUGGCGCAGUUAUGUUUACUGUCCUUGCAGCUCUGGCAAUUACAUCUCAUUACACCACUUUAAUUAUUCAAGCCCUGACGUUUCAAUGAUAAUAUUUAGAAAAAUUCAGACACACAGGAAAAGAGUUCUUUCAAUUCGAGUGUCUUUUACCGAACUCUUCUCUUGAACUGUCUGUUUUCUCACAACACAUUCCUCUCUCUGUCACAACCACAGCCAUGAUGUUUUUCCAAAAAUCCUGGAAGACGCUCUCAGGCCCUGCUUCUGCCAGGAUUGCUUUUAUUAAAAAAACAUUGCUAAUACUUGGGCCUUUUCUCCACGUCGGAGUGAAAGACACAUCUUUGAAGUACAAGAGGUAGCGUGUAGUUUGAAGUAGUGGCACGGAGGAGACGAGUGGAUGUCAGCACAUCGGCUGUUUGGGUAGAGCCUCGGGAAUACCGGGGGCUUGGGCACUGGGGGCAACAGCACUGUCACAUUGUCACACUCUGUCCCUGUCCCUCCCAGCCAGAAGUGCCGUGUUGGUGUGCAUGGACAAGAACUGAAUCUGAUGUGUACCUCUCUAUAGGGUUCAGCCCUCACGCCAGCCCAACCACCACCCGGAAGAAUAAUCCAGGAGCAGUUUGCCUUCACCUUAUCUCCUGAAGUUCUUGGAAAAGUUCUUCGACAGCCUACAAUAAAAAGGGUUAAGAGCAAACGAGGCUCUUGCAUCACUGCUGUGGCAUUCCUGACUACCUGACCACAUCCUACGUACGAGGAACUCGGGCAGUUCUGUAGCCUGCCCAGAGCAGCACAGCAGGUUAGCCACUAAACCCGGGGCGACAAGUCUCCUGCCGUGGUGACUGGACAAGGCUGGAAACCUUGCUGGCAUCCGGGGAGCCAGGCUGGGAUGCAGGGAAGCCAUACCUCGCUGUGAAAGGAGACUCUUCCAGCUGGGAAGGGCAUGUGGCAGGAUCUGUCUCUUGCCUAGAGGCUUCAUUAGCACUAAUCUGACAGACACUGAGACCUCAUUAAUUUGUUGUUGUGCAUAACCAGUUUGAAAAUGCGAUCCAAACAAAGCUCUUCAGUCGAAUGUAAUACCAGAUCUGCAGUGGCAGUGACUCAGUGUGCAAUGAUGACUCUUGCACCUGGCUUCUAUGAAAUGCUUAGCACAACAGACAAGACCUCCCACGGGAUUUACUCAUUCAGCAGAGCUUGGCUGGCACCGAGCGCUGGCAUUCAUCACCCGUGUCCUAGGCGAGCAAGGGAACCUGUCAGUAAGUGCUUAGGAUCCCGGCGGUUCCUCCUUGGGUAAAGCACAUACGCAUCACACGCUGUGUAUAUAAUUUACAAAAUGCAUACAGAUACACAUAUAUUUGUAUAUAUAAUGUGCUGAAAUUAGUUCUCAACAUGCUGGCUAAGGAUAUUGUGAAGUAUCGAUUGGCUUUGUUGCCGACGCAGUGCCUGCAAGCAGGACAGGCCGUGUCUUUUAUCUUUUAUCUCCUGGGUCUAUUCUGAGUAAUGCUGAGAAACCCUGGGCUCGGAAUUUGCAACAAACAUCCACGGCUGAAAAGGAUUCCAGUACAGAAUCACACACAUGGUUCUUCUUCGGACGCUGCAGAGACGGAGAGCUCUGUCGAAGAUAAUGGAAACUUACAACUGGGGGGAGGCUUGCGGUUGAAACGCAAGCACGUUUUAAAAUGACCUGAUUUUUUAUGACUUGGUUGCUAAGCUGAUGUUGCUAAUUCCUUUGUAACUCAUCGCAGCAAAACAAAGAUAGCGCUCGCUAUUUUAGGAAACAUACGGAUCAGUGGGAGAGCUGAAAGGAAACAAGGGGAUAGCUGGUCGGGCUAGAAAUGCCUCAGACAUGUGUACAGUGUGUGUCCACAGAUACUGUGGCUGUGCAAAAAAAAAAAAAA